AUUGAACGCUGGCGGCAUGCCUUACACAUGCAAGUCGAACGGCAGCACGGGUGCUUGCACCUGGUGGCGAGUGGCGAACGGGUGAGUAAUACAUCGGAACAUGUCCUGUAGUGGGGGAUAGCCCGGCGAAAGCCGGAUUAAUACCGCAUACGAUCUACGGAUGAAAGCGGGGGCCCUUCGGGCCUCGCGCUAUAGGGUUGGCCGAUGGCUGAUUAGCUAGUUGGUGGGGUAAAGGCCUACCAAGGCGACGAUCAGUAGCUGGUCUGAGAGGACGACCAGCCACAUUGGAACUAAGACACGGCCCAGACUCCUACGGGGGGCAGCGUUGGGAAAUUUUGGCAAAUGGGGGAAGGCUUGAUCCAGCAAGGCCGCGGGUGUGAAGAAGGCCUUCGGGUUGUAAAGCACUUUUGUCCGGAAAGAAAUCCUUGGCCCUAAUACGGUCGGGGGAGAACGUUACCGGAAGAAUAGACACCGGCAAACUACUU
rnacentral:rRNA from 1 species